rnacentral:rRNA from 1 species
GAUGAACGCUGGCGGCGUGCCUAAUACAUGCAAGUCGAGCGAACGGACGAGAAGCUUGCUUCUCUGAUGUUAGCGGCGGACGGGUGAGUAACACGUGGAUAACCUACCUAUAAGACUGGGAUAACUUCGGGAAACCGGAGCUAAUACCGGAUGAUAUUUUGAACCGCAUGGUUCAAAAGUGAAAGACGGUCUUGCUGUCACUUAUAGAUGGAUCCGCGCUGCAUUAGCUAGUUGGUAAGGUAACGGCUUACCAAGGAAACGAUGCAUAGCCGACCUGAGAGGGUGAUCAGCCACACUGGAACUGAGACACGGUCCAGACUCCUACGGGAGGCAGCAGUAGGGAAUCUUCCGCAAAGGGCGAAAGCCUGACGGAGCAACGCCGCGUGAGUGAUGAAGGUCUUCGGAUCGUAAAACUCUGUUAUUAGGGAAGAACAUAUGUGUAAGUAACUGUGCACAUCUUGACGGUACCUAAUCAGAAAGCCACGGCUAACUACGUG